rnacentral:rRNA from 1 species
UGGGGAAUUGUUCGCAAUGGGCGCAAGCCUGACGACGCAACGCCGCGUGGAGGACGAAGAUCUUCGGGUCGUAAACUCCUGUCGAGUGGGAAGAAUGCUUCGGGGAUGAAUAAUCCCCGGAAUUGACGGUACCACUAAAGGAAGCCCCGGCUAACUCCGUGCCAGCAGCCGCGGUAAUACGGGGGGGGCAAGCGUUGUUCGGAAUUACUGGGCGUAAAGGGCUCGUAGGCGGCCAACUAAGUCGGAUGUGAAAUCCCCAGGCUUAACCUGGGAACUGCAUCCGAUACUGGAUGGCUUGAAUUCGGGAGAGGGAUGCAGAAUUCCAGGUGUAGCGGUGAAAUGCGUAGAUAUCUGGAGGAAUACCGGUGGCGAAGGCGGCAUCCUGGACCGACAUUGACGCUGAGGAGCGAAAGCUAGGGGAGCAAACGGG